rnacentral:sRNA from 1 species
GGAUGCUAACGCAAUGUGA